AAAGCAAGAAAAGGCGUUUGCGUCCGUCAAGUAUUAUAAAAAUGUAUUAUGAACUGUAAACGAGAUGCCUCUCCCGCACCUAAAUGUCGCUGUUUUUACAUCCGGUGUUUUUCAAUUGAAAUAAUAACACAAAACACAGAAAAUGGUGAUUAAUGCAUAUUGUGUAGUGUGCAGCGUUUGCUACACAAAUUCAGUGCAUAAAACAGGAAUUGCAAUGCGCUUAUCUAUAGAAAUUGACGUAUGAUCUUGGGUACAGUUGUAUUGGUUAACGACGUAGAUCGAGAUUUAAUAACACAAUACAAACUAUAAUACAUUUUAUUUAAGGCUUAUUGUAAAACAACUAGAAGCUGACAAAUAUUCCGGUUAAUUCUUCAGUAAAUUAUCUGGUAACACUAGCGGUUUUUUUUCCCGCGGAAACUGAUAACGUGACUCUAAAUGUUGCCGCGAAAGAUGCUUCUGGGACGCCAUAUUGGUUUUUUGGUUCGUGCCGAAGGUUGAUGUCUAAUUCCCUAAUGGCCCAAUUUAAUUUAAAGGGAAAUAAAGGGAGGCGGUCCAUAAUGGACUUAGAAAUUUACAAAGUUGUCCGAGAUAGUGUAAUGAUCAGUCAGCCGAGCUGCAAUGAAGCCGAGAUAAUAACAGCAGUUUCGGCUCAUCUAAAAUAUGAGCCGGACAGAAGAGGGACCAAUUAAGUACAUGUACAGUUUAAAUUUGUUUAUUACAUGUCAUAUUUUAUUAUAAUCUUUAUAAGCCAUUUUAAGUUCUUUUAUCAUCCAUUUAAUUUUAUUUUAUUUUCUAUGUGUGAUGUCCACAAAAUGUUAACUGCGCCAUUGAGCAUUGAGUGUUUUAUAUUGGUAAUAGGCGCAUUAUAAAUAAUAAAUUAUUAUUAUUAUUACAGUACCAAUUGCAUUAAAAUUACUUUCUCAUUUUUAGCAAUAUCAUUCAUUACCCAUUACAUUGAAAGUAAAUAAUUACAUUUUAUUACUAUUUAAAGAUUAGUGCUAAUUUAGCAUUUAAUCAAUCAGAUUUAAAGACAUGCAUACCAUUGGAUAGUUCGCACUGAUGUUUAUAUAUAUAUUCAUAUCUUUCUCAUUUUAUUUAUUUGUGUAUAUAUGCUUGAAAACGACUUGUGAAAUCUUGUUGAA